rnacentral:rRNA from 1 species
UCUGGCUAUUAGUGGGGGACAACAUUUCGAAAGGGAUGCUAAUACCGCAUACGUCCUACGGGAGAAAGCAGGGGAUCUUCGGACCUUGCGCUAAUAGAUGAGCCUAAGUCGGAUUAGCUAGUUGGUGGGGUAAAGGCCUACCAAGGCGACGAUCUGUAGCGGGUCUGAGAGGAUGAUCCGCCACACUGGGACUGAGACACGGCCCAGACUCCUACGGGAGGCAGCAGUGGGGAAUAUUGGACAAUGGGGGGAACCCUGAUCCAGCCAUGCCGCGUGUGUGAAGAAGGCCUUAUGGUUGUAAAGCACUUUAAGCGAGGAGGAGGGUACUGGUAUUAAUACUACCAGGUACUGGACGUUACUCGCAGAAUAAGCACCGGCUAACUCUGUGCCAGCAGCCGCGGUAAUACAGAGGGUGCGAGCGUUAAUCGGAUUUACUGGGCGUAAAGCGUGCGUAGGCGGCUAAUUGAGUCGGAUGUGAAAUCCCCGAGCUUAACUUGGGAAUUGCAUUCGAUACUGGUUAGCUAGAGUGUGGGAGAGGAUGGUAGAAUUCCAGGUGUAGCGGUGAAAUGCGUAGAGAUCUGGAGGAAUACCGAUGGCGAAGGCAGCCAUCUGGCCUAACACUGACGCUGAGGUACGAAAGCAUGGGGAGCA